AGAUGACAAGGCCACCUACCGUCCUCCGAAAAUCAGUUUAUUUUUGACUCUGUGAAGUGGGUAAGGUGACUUCUUGGAGCCAGUACUGGGUUUUGUCUAUAUCUUAACUGUACUGGAUCAUCUCGGCAGAGAAGAAUAAAAUACAGGGUUGAAGUUAUCGUUGCGGAUUUUGACAUUGAUUGGAUGUACUGGAUCAUCUCUGCUGCUCAGAAGAAACAAACUGCUAGUCUAUGUAGUGCGGGUGUAUUAUAAAAGUUUGUGAAAAAGUGGUGUCUGUAGAUAUUUAGGAAACUGUACUGGAUCAUCUGACUCUGAAAAACUU